GGCUUUUCAGAGGCCUGUGCAUGAUAACUAUGGUGAAGGACUUCUUCUCUCAGGGCUUUCUCACGUAAGCAACUGCUGAGACCACGGAGGAUCCGAGGACGACACCCACCACCUUUUCCGAGAAAAGCAAAGAAGUCUAAGCCUGUGAAAGUUUGAAGCCCCUGGGUUCACCUCCAACCUUGGAGAAGAAUGAUAACGCCUUUCCUAUCUACCAUGUCCAGAGGGCUGCCAUAACAAAACCCUAUAGUUCGAAUAACAGAAAUUCUUCCUGGUUCUUGAAGUUGCCAGCCCAACACCAAUGAGUCAUGGAGUUGUUUCUGUUUGAGCUUUUUCCUUAGUCCACAUAGCUGCCUUCUUGCUGAAUCCCCACACGGUCUUUCCUAAUUUUUUGUUUGUUUGGGGGUGCUGGGAAUCUUACCCAGGUCCCCUUCACGUGGAAAGAAAGUGCUCUAUCAUCCAGUUCAGCCCUGAAUAGCCUCAUGUUGAAUAAGACCCCACCUCAAAGGCUUCCUUUUAACUGUCUCUUAAAAGCCCUUAUCUCCAAAUAUUUUUGAGGACCUGGGGGUUAGGACCUCAACAUGCAUUGGCUUGAGGUUACAGAAUUCAGCCCUUAAGCACCAUAGUUCUUUUACACAGCCCUGAUACAUGCUCGUAAACAAACACUCACCUCCCAGAAGUCAGUGCCAGCAAGGUUGUAGUCACCGAUGCUGACAGGAAUCUGCACUUUCCCAGCAUCCAACAGAUCAUCCCCUGCACAGGCACCAAUUUCCUGAAAGGCAGAUGCCUCCCUCAGUCCUCAGGGAAAUUCGUGGAAUCACUCUGUGACUGAGGCCCAGGAGGUCAAGGAAGAAUCUGCGGAGGUCCAAGGAAGUCAUCUAAACUGCAUUCUCUUGAGAGGCAGACUAAUGAAAGUCUGGCUUUAUUUGCAUUUCUAUGUAUAUUUUUCUGAUUCUAGACUCCAGUGUUCAUGUUCUAUGUGGUAAGUCAUUACACUGUACUUUCAAUUGCAUCUCAUAAGUACUUUUUUUUUCCUUCCUACCUCUAAAACUUAAAAGCGAAACCCUUUCAGGCCUUUUCCCCACCAAGUUCUAAAACUGGGGAAGGCUAGAGUAGGUUGUAUCGCCUUUCUCAAAAUAUCCCAAGUUUCCUCCUUACUGGAACAUGGUGUCCGUUACCAUGCUGCCUGUAGCCGAUGAAAUGCAGGUUGUGGAUGCAAAGUGCAUCCCUGUGGCGCAGCUUCACGCCACCUUUCCUUUCCCUCUAGACAGCAGCUGCUCCCUCGGUGCAGGCCUCGGAGUGAAGGCAAAGAGGAUCAGCCUCACAGAGGACUUCUGCUGGGCCUGGUGCAAAUGACUUGUCAGCUGCUGGUGUAAGCCACUGAGGUUGUCAGGGUCACUUGUUCCCGGAGCAGGACCACAAUUUCCCUGAUGGUUAUGCCGCUGUAACAUAUCAUUUCUUUCACAAAAGUCAGCGAAAGGUAGCAGUCUGAGACUCUCCCUGACUUUUAAUGAGAGUCGCUGCAGAAGUGCGAGCCUCGGUGCCGACGCUGCCCGGAAAGAAUUACCCAGUGGCUGUGUACUUCGGUAUUUUGAGGAACUGCCAUGUAGUUUUCCAAACUCAAUGUUCCAUUCUAUGGGCAUCAUAUGACGACGAUUUCUUUAUAUCGUCACUAACAGUGGGUAUUAUCAUAGGCAUUUUUGUGGGUGAAGAUGGUAUGGGGGUUUUGACUUGUGC
ensembl:lncRNA